rnacentral:rRNA from 1 species
UACGUAGGGUGCGAGCGUUAAUCGGAAUUACUGGGCGUAAAGCGUGCGCAGGCGGUUCUGAAAGUCAGCUGUGAAAGCCCCGGGCUUAACCUGGGAAUGGCGGUUGAAACUACAGGACUAGAAUCUGGCAGAGGGGGGUGGAAUUCCACGUGUAGCAGUGAAAUGCGUAGAGAUGUGGAGGAACACCGAUGGCGAAGGCAGCCCCCUGGGCUGAGACUGACGCUCAGGCACGAAAGCGUGGGGAGCAAACAGG